UACCAGCACCCCGAGUGGUCGGGACGUUUAUUGGGCCUAAAGCAUCCGUAGCCGGUUCUACAAGUCUUCCGUUAAAUCCAACUGCUUAGCAGGUGGGCUGCGGAAGAUACUAUAGAGCUAGGAGGCGGGAGAGGCAAGCGGUACUCGAUGGGUAGGGGUAAAAUCCGUUGAUCCAUUGAAGACCACCAGUGGCGAAGGCGGCUUGCCAGAACGCGCUCGACGGUGAGGGAUGAAAGCUAGGGGAGCAAACCGG
rnacentral:rRNA from 1 species